AGGGAUGAAGAUUAGUGGUAUAAUGCUUGCCUAGCAGGCAUGAAGCCCUGGGUUCAAUCCCUAGCACCACAA
rnacentral:tRNA from 1 species